UUCUUAAAUUUUGUUGUUCUUUGGUUAGGUUUAAAUCUUCAUCCACGAUGAAACUACGACGAACUGCGCCAUUUGCGACUGAAGAGAAAUCUGCGUUUCUUUGUUGAGUAUCUCUCCAGGGGGUGGUGAGAAUCUUUAAUCUCUGUAAUUUAUUAAAUAUAUAUUUGUUUAUAUAAGUAAUAAGUAAUAAAAGUAAUAAGAAGAAAACUAUUUUUUAUAUAAUUAAAUAUAUAAUUAAAUUUUAUAAUUUCUACAAGCCCUAAUUGUUGAAUGCUUUUAAUCGUUAUAUGCAUGUUUAAAGUAAUUAAACAGGUCCUUCUUAAUUUUUCUUUCUUAAACAUAUUCAAAUCAGUAUUGAAAAGAAUGUACUAAGAACAAUUGCAUGAAAAUUAGAUUAAGAUACCUGAAUAAAAUUGCCGGGUGUGAUAAUGAUCUUGUAAAUUGCAAUGCCGGGUAUCAUCGCAAUUGAGGAAGUCGCAAUUAACCAGCCUAAUAUAUUUGCCCACACAGGGUAUACGUAAUCUUCGUAAGUCAGUGAUCCAACUAAUGGCGAUCGCUUCCGCCAAAACUGCAAACAGCAUCGAGUAUCCAGCUGCGUAUCGGUCCAACAAGUGGAAGAAGUAAAAGC